UACGAGAGGCCCAAACGUUAUUCGGAUUUACUGGGCUUAAAGAGUUCGUAGGCGGCGCAGAAAGUAGGGUGUGAAAGCCCUCGGCUCAACCGAGGAAUUGCGCCCUAAACUACUGCGCUCGAGGGACCUAGAGGUGAGCAGAACUGAUGGUGGAGCGGUGAAAUGCGUUGAUAUCAUCAGGAAUACCGGAGGCGAAGGCGGCUCACUGGGGGUCUUCUGACGCUGAGGAACGAAAGCCAGGGGAGCGAACGGG
rnacentral:rRNA from 1 species